UUGGCGAAGGCGGCUCUCUGGUCUGUCACAGACGCUGAGGCUCGAAAGCGUGGGUAGCAAACAGGAUUAGAUACCCUGGUAGUCCACGCUGUAAACGCUGAGCGCUAAGUGUUGGAGGGUAUCCACCCUUUGGUGCUGUAGCAAACGCAUUAAGCACUCCGCCUGGGUAGUACAAUCGCAAGGUUGAAACUCAAAGGAAUUGACGGGGGCCCGCACAAGCGGUGGAGCAUGUGGUUUAAUUCGAAGCAACGCGAAUAACCUUACCAGGUUUUGACAUCGAAUGAACACUUUAGAGAUAGAGCAUUCCCUUCGGGGACAUUCAGACAGGUGGUGCAUGGUUGUCGUCAGCUCGUGUCGUGAGAUGUUGGGUUAAGUCCCGCAACGAGCGCAACCCUUAUUGUUAGUUACCAUCAUUAAGUUGGGCACUCUAGCGAAACUGCCGCAGAUAAUGUGGAGGAAGGUUGGGAUGAGGUCAAAUCAUCAUGCCCCUUAUGACCUGGGCUACACACGUGCUACAAUGGGAAGUACAACGAGCAGCGAACUCGCAAGAGUAAGCGAAUCUCUAAAAUCUUCUCUAAGUUCGGAUUGUAGGCUGCAACUCGCCUACAUGAAGUCGGAAUCGCUAGUAAUCGCGGAUCAUCAUGCCGCGGUGAAUACGUUCCCGGGCCUUGUACACACCGCCCGUCACACCAUGAGAGUUUGUAACACCCGAAGUCGGUGAUGUAACCGUAAGGAACUAGCUGCCUAAGGUGGGAUAGAUGAUUGGGGUGAAGUCGUAACAAGGUAGCCGUAAAUCGA
rnacentral:rRNA from 1 species